UGCUCCCUGAUGAUUAGCGGCGGACGGGUGAGUAACACGUGGGUAACCUGCCUGUAAGACUGGGAUAACUCCGGGAAACCGGGGCUAAUACCGGAUAACUUUUUUCUUCGCAUGAGGGAGAAUUGAAAGAUGGCUUCGGCUAUCACUUACAGAUGGACCCGCGGCGCAUUAGCUAGUUGGUGAGGUAACGGCUCACCAAGGCGACGAUGCGUAGCCGACUUGAGAGGGUGAUCGGCCACACUGGGACUGAAACACGGCCCAAACUCCUACGGGAGGCAGCAGUAGGGAAUCUUCCGCAAUGGACGAAAGUCUGACGGAGCAACGCCGCGUGAGUGAUGAAGGUUUUCGGAUCGUAAAACUCUGUUGUUAGGGAAGAACAAGUAUCGUUCGAAUAGGGCGGUACCUUGACGGUACCUAACCAGAAAGCCACGGCUAACUACGUGCCAGCAGCCGCGGUAAUACGUAGGUGGCAAGCGUUGUCCGGAAUUAUUGGGCGUAAAGCGCGCGCAGGCGGUUUCUUAAGUCUGAUGUGAAAUCUUGCGGCUCAACCGCAAGCGGCCAUUGGAAACUGGGAGACUUGAGUGCAGAAGAGGAGAGUGGAAUUCCACGUGUAGCGGUGAAAUGCGUAGAGAUGUGGAGGAACACCAGUGGCGAAGGCGACUCUCUGGUCUGUAACUGACGCUGAGGCGCGAAAGCGUGGGGAGCGAACAGGAUUAGAUACCCUGGUAGUCCACGCCGUAAACGAUGAGUGCUAAGUGUUAGAGGGUUUCCGCCCUUUAGUGCUGCAGCUAACGCAUUAAGCACUCCGCCUGGGGAGUACGGCCGCAAGGCUGAAACUCAAAGGAAUUGACGGGGGCCCGCACAAGCGGUGGAGCAUGUGGUUUAAUUCGAAGCAACGCGAAGAACCUUACCAGGUCUUGACAUCCUCUUGACCUCCCUAGAGAUAGGGAUUUCCCUUCGGGGACAGGAAUGACAGGUGGUGCAUGGUUGUCGUCAGCUC
rnacentral:rRNA from 2 species